ACCUGUGCUCUUCGGAUCCCAAGCCCCUUGGACACUGCAGCUCUUUUUAGUUUUUGCUUAUACACAAUUCAUUCUUUGCAGCUUAUUAAGCUGAAGAAGCCUGGGAAUAAAGUUUGAAACAAGAUUAAUAAAGUUCUUUGCCUAGGAAAAAAAAAAAAA